rnacentral:rRNA from 1 species
AACGAACGCUGGCGGCAUGCCUAACACAUGCAAGUCGAACGAGACCUUCGGGCCUAGUGGCGCACGGGUGCGUAACGCGUGGGAACCUGCCCUUAGGUUCGGAAUAACUCUCCGAAAGGGGUGCUAAUACCGGAUAAUGUCUUCGGACCAAAGAUUUAUCGCCUUUGGAUGGGCCCGCGUUGGAUUAGCUAGUUGGUAGGGUAAAAGCCAACCAAGGCGACGAUCCAUAGCUGGUCUGAGAGGAUGAUCAGCCACACUGGGACUGAGACACGGCCCAGACUCCUACGGGAGGCAGCAGUGGGGAAUAUUGGACAAUGGGCGAAAGCCUGAUCCAGCAAUGCCGCGUGAGUGAUGAAGGCCUUAGGGUUGUAAAGCUCUUUUACCCGGGAUGAUAAUGACAGUACCGGGAGAAUAAGCUCCGGCUAACUCCGUG